rnacentral:rRNA from 1 species
AACGCGAAGAACCUUACCUACCCUUGACAUCCUGCGAAUCCUGAUGAGAGUUGGGAGUGCCGAAAGGAGCGCAGAGACAGGUGCUGCAUGGCUGUCGUCAGCUCGUGUUGUGAGAUGUUGGGUUAAGUCCCGUAACGAGCGCAACCCUUGUCCUUAGUUGCCAGCAUUUAGUUGGGGACUCUAAGGAGACUGCCGGUGAUGAACCGGAGGAAGGCGGGGACGACGUCAAGUCAUCAUGGCCUUUAUGGGUAGGGCUACACACGUGCUACAAUGGGGCGUACAGAGGGUCGCGAACCUGCGAGGGGGAGCGAAUCUUAUCAAAGCCGUUCGUAGUCCGGAUUGGAGUCUGCAACUCGACUCCAUGAAGUUGGAAUCGCUAGUAAUCGUGGAUCAGAACGCCACGGUGAAUACGUUCUCGGGCCUUGUACACACCGUACGUC